rnacentral:lncRNA from 1 species
AUCAAAGUAGCUUUUCUUAACAAAUUUAACAGGUAUAAGAAGAGGUAGUCGAGUUGCUGACGUGCACAUAUAAAACCAUUAGCUCGAUAAAACCACUUUACAGCAUGACAAAAAUUGUCGUGACUGCAAAAAUAGUGUGGAACGUCAUUUCUAUGUAUCGUCUGCUUUUAAAAGACAACCUAGAACAGAAUGUUGCAGUAGCUAGUUAGUUGAGGACAUGCUUCUCUUCCUGAUGUUCCCACCGCGGUUGUUUUUUCUGAAUUUUCAGAUCCAGAUGUUGAUGACCAGCCUUCAGGGAUUACAAUUUUUGCUGAUGAAUCAACUAAGGAAGAAACUGAAGAGGGGGAAAUUCUUCAUCCAACUGCUGCUGAGCCAUCCAAGAAAAUGAGUGUUAAAUUUCCUGGAAUAAAUGCUCCAAUACCAGAAAAUGCAGACGAAAGACUUUGGGCAACUGGGUCUUCAAGAUACAAUGUUUCUAGAGAUGGUUCAUACCGUGGACAUAACCACUCGUCUGAAAACUUCAGCAGACGGCACUAUCAUCAACAAAAGUGGUCCAGUGAUUUUGAAGAUGAUAGUCCUCCUGGAGUUGAUCCUGGACGUCGACCCUCAAAUCAUUCUCAUAGAUAUGGUGGUUAUGACUCCAGUUUCUCUUCCCCUAGUGCUAGAUCUAGUCGUCAUGGCCGAUCCUCGUCGGACAGAGGUAGAAGAAGCUCUCUAGUGCAAGAUGGUUCCUCAAACUAUGGCCAGUAUGGUACUGCACAUUCUUCACCCCACAGAUAGGCUGACAUAGGGAUUAUUUCAAAUCCAAUGUGGACAAUUGGGCGAUGGCUGAUGCAAAAUUUUUGCUAACCAGGAAAGACGUUCAUGUAGGAGGGAAAUCACAGGACAAACAUUCUUUUGAAUUGAAGGGGGUCAGUGUACAUAAUUAGAUGUAUAUUCAAUUAUUGUAAACUAAUAAUUCGUGCUCCAUUGAGGGUGGUUGAAUUGUUGUAUUAUCACACUGUUUUCAUCCUCUAAUUUUAUGUAACGUUUAUCAAUGACAUUGUUGUCCUCCCUUUGCCAUGCAUGUCAAGAAAAAUUGAAAUUCAGGACGCAGGAGGCAAAUUCAGCCUUUCUCAUCUUUAACAAAUUUUAGGUCAAUUGCUGAAGUUUUAAGUUAUGAACGGAAGUGGUCGGUUUUCUUCUUGAAUUGUCUGUGUAUUCGUGUCCAUGGAGAGAGGGAUCUUGAUAUUUAAUACCCUAGUUGGCACUUCUGUUAUCUCUUUGUAUUCAUAAUCCUUACACAUUCACAUUAUUAUUUUUGUCUAAAAAAGAUUUUCAUUGCACUUUUAUUUUGAAAUUAAUAUAAAUUGAUCUAAUGAUGGUUUGUUUUCAAAAUUUUCUUUAAGAUGGAGUUACAAGACUUAUUUGCCUAUGUAUUUUUAGAUAAGUAUGAAAAAUGAUAAUGCGAAAAUACAACUAAAAAUUUGAUCCUCAUUUUAAAGAACGUCGACAAUUUUUUUUGGAUAACUGUGAUUGAGGGCUAUUUUUUGAUUGAUGAAAUGUUAAAAAUAAGUAUGUGAGGAAAAAAAUUAAGGAUAAAAACAUGAUAAUAAAUAAUGGUUAAUGACCUUUAUUUUAAUUAAAAAAUAACGUAUCUAUAUAUAAAAAUAUAGAUAUGGGGUGAAUAUAACCAUCCAUUGUAUAUAAUUAUAACUUAUGAUUUUCCUCAUGUAUAUUAUUUUAAUAGAGUUCAUAUAGUUCUUAUUAAUUAAAUAUAAAUUUCACUAAAUGUUUGACAGCUUGAAGCCAAUUACUCAAAAUAUAUUUUCUUUUAUAUUUAUGAGACAACGAGGUCAUCUUACUCAAACAAAUUUCACUUCAUUUUUUUGCAUACUUCUCUUCGUAUUUCUUUUCUAUUAAGUCAAUAAGAGCAUCUUCAAUACAUUCAUUCUCAGACAUCGCCUCCAGUUACUACCCCAAUUGCAAGAUGUGGUCUCCAUUUCUAAAAGUGCAAGAUGGUUCCUCAAAGAUAAAUCUUCUUGGACAGCCCUGUCCAAACAGAGCGAGCAAUGAGGGGGCGCGUACGGAUAGUGGUCCUGUCUGUCCAGCACAGUCCGAUUCCUCAAACAAUUGUCAGUAUAGUACCGGCUGCACAUUCAUCAUUUCCAGAUAGUUUGAUAUAGGACUACUGUUCUUUUGAAUUGAAGGGGUUGAUAGACGUGUAAUCAAUAAUUGUUAAUAUUUGUAAUCCAUUUUUAUCUAAUUCCCGCGAACUACAGCCGAAAUAAUAAUGGAACUGCAAUCAAUCCAAUAUUUGACACCUAUCUGAACACGAUUAAAAAAAGUUUGUUUUCUCUCAUGUCAUCAAAGUAGCUUUUCUUAACAAAUUUAACAGGUAUAAGAAGAGGUAGUCGAGUUGCUGACGUGCACAUAUAAAACCAUUAGCUCGAUAAAACCACUUUACAGCAUGACAAAAAUUGUCGUGACUGCAAAAAUAGUGUGGAACGUCAUUUCUAUGUAUCGUCUGCUUUUAAAAGACAACCUAGAACAGAAUGUUGCAGUAGCUAGUUAGUUG